UACAGAGACUGCAAGCGUUAUUCGGAUUCACUGGGCGUAAAGGGUGCGCAGGCGGCCAAGUGUGUGAGGCGUGAAAGCCCGGGGCUUAACCCCGGAAUUGCACCUCAAACUACAUGGCUAGAGCAUUGGAGAGGGUAGCAGAAUUCAUGGUGUAGCAGUGAAAUGCGUAGAUAUCAUGAGGAAUACCAGAGGCGAAGGCGGCUACCUGGACAAUUGCUGACGCUCAGGCACGAAAGCCGUGGGGAGCAAAAGGG
rnacentral:rRNA from 1 species